rnacentral:rRNA from 1 species
UACGUAGGUGGCGAACGUUGUUCGGAAUCAUUGGGCGUAAAGGGCGCGUAGGCGGUCCUGUUAGUCGGAUGUGAAAGCCCCGGGCUCAACCCGGGAAGUGCAUCCGAAACUGCAGGACUUGAGUACGGGAGAGGGAAGUGGAAUUCCUGGUGUAGGGGUGAAAUCCGUAGAUAUCAGGAGGAACACCGGUGGCGAAGGCGACUUCCUGGACCGAUACUGACGCUGAGGCGCGAAAGCGUGGGGAGCAAACAGG